rnacentral:rRNA from 1 species
AGCAGUAGGGAAUCUUCCACAAUGGACGCAAGUCUGAUGGAGCAACGCCGCGUGAGUGAAGAAGGGUUUCGGCUCGUAAAGCUCUGUUGUUAAAGAAGAACGUGGGUAAGAGUAACUGUUUACCCAGUGACGGUAUUUAACCAGAAAGCCACGGCUAACUACGUCNCA